rnacentral:rRNA from 1 species
UACGAGGGGUCCUAGCGUUGUUCGGAAUCAUUGGGCGUAAAGAGUAUGUAGGCGGCUAGAUAAGUCAGGUGUGAAAUCCCCGGGCUCAACCCGGGAAGUGCAUUUGAUACUGUCUAGCUUGAGUAUGGAAGAGGGUAGUGGAAGUUCCUGGUGUAGUGGUGAAAUACGUAGAUAUCAGGAGGAACACCGGUGGCGAAGGCGGCAUCCUGGACCAACACUGACGCUGAGGAGCGAAAGCCAGGGGAGCAAACGGG